GACGAACGCUGGCGGCGUGCUUAACACAUGCAAGUCGAACGGAAAGGCCCUGCUUUUGUGGGGUGCUCGAGUGGCGAACGGGUGAGUAACACGUGAGUAACCUGCCCUUGACUUUGGGAUAACUUCAGGAAACUGGGGCUAAUACCGGAUAGGAGCUCCUGCUGCAUGGUGGGGGUUGGAAAGUUUCGGCGGUUGGGGAUGGACUCGCGGCUUAUCAGCUUGUUGGUGGGGGAGUGGCUUACCAAGGCUUUGACGGGUAGCCGGCCUGAGAGGGUGACCGGCCACCUGGGGACUGCGAUACGGAGCAGUCGCGUACGGUAGGCAGCAGGGGGGAGUCUGGUACAGCGGGGGGGCGCGUGAGGCAGAAGCGCCGCGUGCGGGAUGACGGCUUUCGGGUGGUGAACCGCUUUCGCCUGUGACGAAGCGUGAUUGACGGUAAUGGGUAAAGAAGCACCGGCUAACUACGUG
rnacentral:rRNA from 1 species